rnacentral:lncRNA from 1 species
CAUAUAUUUCAAUUCUAAGUUUUCAUAUUAUAUAUCAUAAUAUAUAUAUCUAAGUUUUCAUAUUAUAUUUGCUAUCAAAUAUUGGAGUUCCAAAUUACAAGUUACAAGUUACAAGUUACAGUUACAACAAACUACAAGCUUCAAGAAUCGGUUAUAACGUCUGCUAUUAACGCAGACGUUUGGUACAUUCGUUUCAUAAUAUUUAUAUUUUAUUUUUUGUCAUUAAUUUUUGUGUUAUUAUUAUUUUUAUAUUAUACUUUACAUAUAAUUAAAUAUGAGUUCUAACAAAAAAGAUACCGGUAAAGGAAAAGAGAAAGAACCAAGUGGCAUUAGUAGAUUAUUUAAUUUUACUAAAAAAAGUAGUAAGGAAAAAAAUAAGAGUAAAUGUGGUGGUACUUCUAGAGUUAGAGUUAAUACAAAUGAUUCUACUUAUGUUGAUGAUACUUCUUAUGAUAUUGAUU